CAAGAACACGUUACACUGCACCCCAUAAACACAAACAAGCCUUUAAAACACUCCCUCGAUGAAAUGUAGGCUACUCAACAUGUGCCACCCUGCGGCGAUGGUUGAAGAAAGACAAAUGAGAAAGUACUUCACCAUAUGCUUGAUAUUAUCGCAUGCAAGACCGUGAAACAAGCACUCAGACGGAUGAUACAUCUGAAGAAACAGAACGACAGACAAAGAAAGGUCACCAUGUUGGUGUCACUGAUGAGAUUGAUGCUACCAGAACUGGACAAACUGUGUCUCAGACAAUGCAAUAUCCAAAUGUACAGAGGUCACUUCUC
rnacentral:lncRNA from 1 species